rnacentral:misc_RNA from 1 species
ACCGAAAGUAAAAAAUAUUGUAAGAGCCUCAGUCUCGAACGGGCACGGCUAGAGUUCAGAAGUGUAUAAACGAGGAAAAAAUAAAGUUUUCUUCUCUCCUUUAAAUUUCUUUCUCAUUUUACGUGACAUUUUGGCGAUCCUGCCAGGAUACAUCAACGUUGGAUAAAACAAGAUUACGGUUUUGGCCUACGGGACAUCCGACCAAAGGUGUAUCAAGCAACCUGGACUACGAAAAACGGUUUUAUUAGCGCCGAAAACCAUUCUCCCAGGGCAAACCAAAAUCGAAACAAUUUAUCUGGAUAAAGUUCCGACGAGAGUAUGUUUCUGCAAUACUGGACGAUCACCCUUGCCGUCGGCUUUACCACCCUUAACGGAUUAACAAUAACCC